rnacentral:rRNA from 1 species
GACGAACGCUGGCGGCGUGCCUAAUACAUGCAAGUAGAACGCACAGUUUAUACCGUAGCUUGCUACACCAUAGACUGUGAGUUGCGAACGGGUGAGUAACGCGUAGGUAACCUGCCUGGUAGCGGGGGAUAACUAUUGGAAACGAUAGCUAAUACCGCAUAAUAUUAAUUAUUGCAUGAUAAUUAAUUGAAAGGUGCAAUUGCACCACUACCAGAUGGACCUGCGUUGUAUUAGCUAGUAGGUGAGGUAACGGCUCACCUAGGCGACGAUACAUAGCCGACCUGAGAGGGUGAUCGGCCACACUGGGACUGAGACACGGCCCAGACUCCUACGGGAGGCAGCAGUAGGGAAUCUUCGGCAAUGGACGAAAGUCUGACCGAGCAACGCCGCGUGAGUGAAGAAGGUUUUCGGAUCGUAAAGCUCUGUUGUAAGAGAAGAACGGGUGUGAGAGUGGUAAGUUCACACUGUGACGGUAUCUUACCAGAAAGAGACGGCUAACUACGUG